rnacentral:tRNA from 1 species
GCUCCUAUAGCUCAGUUGGCAGAGCGUACGUCUCAUAAUCCUGAACUCUAAGAGUGCGCAAGCGUAAGGCCGGCAGUUCGAUCCUGUCUGGGAGCA